UAGGGAAUCUUCGGCAAUGGGGGCAACCCUGACCGAGCAACGCCGCGUGAGUGAAGAAGGUUUUCGGAUCGUAAAGCUCUGUUGUAAGAGAAGAACGUGUGUGAGAGUGGAAAGUUCACACAGUGACGGUAACUUACCAGAAAGGGACGGCUAACUACGUGCCAGCAGCCGCGGUAAUACGUAGGUCCCGAGCGUUGUCCGGAUUUAUUGGGCGUAAAGCGAGCGCAGGCGGUUUAAUAAGUCUGAAGUUAAAGGCAGUGGCUUAACCAUUGUUCGCUUUGGAAACUGUUAAACUUGAGUGCAGAAGGGGAGAGUGGAAUUCCAUGUGUAGCGGUGAAAUGCGUGGAUAUAUGGAGGAACACCGGUGGCGAAAGCGGCUCUCUGGUCUGUAACUGACGCUGAGGCUCGAAAGCGUGGGGAGCAAACAGG
rnacentral:rRNA from 1 species